AAUUUUCGGCAAUGGGGGCAACCCUGACUGAUCGACGCCGCGUGAGUGAAGAAGGUCUUCGGAUUGUAAAGUUCUGUUGUAAGGGAAGAACCGUACCAGUAGGGAAUGACUGGUACCUGACGGUACCUUACCAGCAAGCCACGGCUAUCAACCUGCCAGCAGCCGCGGUAAUACGUAGGUGGCAAGCGUUAUCCGGAAUUUUUGGGCGUAAAGGGAGCGCAGGCGGCUUAUUAAGUCUGAGGUUAAAGUUCGGGGCUCAACCCCGUGAUGCCUUAGAAACUGGUAGGCUAGAGUGCAGGAGAGGUGAGUGGAAUUCCAUGUGUAGCGGUAAGAUGCGUAGAUAUAUGGAGGAACACCAGUGGCGAAGGCGGCUCACUGGCCUGUAACUGACGCUGAGGCUCGAAAGCGUGGGGAGCAAAUA
rnacentral:rRNA from 1 species